rnacentral:rRNA from 1 species
CCUACGGGUGGCAGCAGUGGGGAAUAUUGCACAAUGGGGGAAACCCUGAUGCAGCAACGCCGCGUGAGUGAGGAAGUAUUUCGGUAUGUAAAGCUCUAUCAGCAGGGAGUAGAAAAGAAGCUACCUGAAAUAGCAGCGCCGGCUAACUACGUGCCAGCAGCCGCGGUAAUACGUAGGGGGCAAGCGUUUUCCGGAUUUACUGGGUGUAAAGGGAGCGUAGACGGAAAGGAGAGGCAGAAGGGAAAGGCCAGGGCUCAACCAUGGGACUGCUGUUGAAACUGUCAGACUAGAGUAGGGGAGAGGUAAGCGGAAUGCGUAGUGUAGCGGUGAAAUGCGUAGAUAUUAGGAGGAACACCGGUGGCGAAGGCGUCAUACUGGACCGGAACUGACGUUGAGGCACGAAAGCGUGGGGAGCGAACAGGAUUAGAUACCCGAGUAGUC